rnacentral:rRNA from 1 species
AGUGAACGCUGGCGGUAGGCCUAACACAUGCAAGUCGAACGGCAGCACAGGAGAGCUUGCUCUCUGGGUGGCGAGUGGCGGACGGGUGAGGAAUACAUCGGAAUCUACUCUGUCGUGGGGGAUAACGUAGGGAAACUUACGCUAAUACCGCAUACGACCUACGGGUGAAAGCAGGGGACCUUCGGUCCUUGCGCGAUUGAAUGAGCCGGUGUCGGAUUAGCUAGUUGGCGGGGUAAAGGCCCACCAAGGCGACGAUCCGUAGCUGGUCUGAGAGGAUGAUCAGCCACACUGGAACUGAGACACGGUCCAGACUCCUACGGGAGGCAGCAGUGGGGAAUAUUGGACAAUGGGCGCAAGCCUGAUCCAGCCAUACCGCGUGGGUGAAGAAGGCCUUCGGGUUGUAAAGCCCUUUCGUUGGGAAAGAAAUCCAGCUGGCUAAUACCCGGUUGGGAUGACGGUACCCAAAGAAUAAGCACCGGCUAACUUCGUGCCAGCAGCCGCCGUAA